AUUGAACGCUGGUGGCAUGCUUUACACAUGCAAGUCGAACGGUAACAGGCCGCAAGGUGCUGACGAGUGGCGCACGGGUGCGUAAUGCAUCGGAACGUGCCCAGUCGUGGGGGAUAACUACUCGAAAGAGUAGCUAAUACCGCAUACGAUCUAUGGAUGAAAGCGGGGGACCGUAAGGCCUCGCGCGAUUGGAGCGGCCGAUGUCAGAUUAGGUAGUUGGUGGGGUAAAGGCUCACCAAGCCAACGAUCUGUAGCUGGUCUGAGAGGACGACCAGCCACACUGGGACUGAGACACGGCCCAGACUCCUACGGGAGGCAGCAGUGGGGAAUUUUGGACAAAGGGCGCAAGCCUGAUCCAGCAAUGCCGCGUGCAGGAAGAAGGCCUUCGGGUUGUAAACUGCUCUUGUACGGAACGAAACGGCUCUGGUUAAUACCCGGGGCUAAUGACGGUACCGUAAGAAUAAGCACCGGCUAACUACGUG
rnacentral:rRNA from 1 species